AAAUUCGCAGCUGCGUAAUGUGAACAAGAAUACAGAAUAAGGAUGAGUUUCGACUUUUAAGGUUGGUAUGCGCUUAAUCCUGCAAUGCCGUGUGUAGAAAAUUUUUAUCAGUUACGGAUCACGUGAUCUGAUAACUAGAUAAAAGGCAAAAAUUUUAUAAUUGAGAUUGAUAUCAUUCUAUAAUAGACAAGAUGAUCAAUCCGGUGUGUAGAAUUUUUUUUAAACGAAGUUGCAGAAAAUUAGCUGUAUAUUGCAUGCCUCCAAAAUU
rnacentral:lncRNA from 1 species